rnacentral:rRNA from 1 species
CUUGAACCGUGGCUUCUGGAGCUAACGCGUUAAAUCGACCGCCUGGGGAGUACGGCCGCAAGGUUAAAACUCAAAUGAAUUGACGGGGGCCCGCACAAGCGGUGGAGCAUGUGGUUUAAUUCGAUGCAACGCGAAGAACCUUACCUACUCUUGACAUCCAGCGAAUCCUUUAGAGAUAGAGGAGUGCCUUCGGGAGCGCUGAGACAGGUGCUGCAUGGCUGU